rnacentral:rRNA from 1 species
AUUGAACGCUGGCGGCAGGCUUAACACAUGCAAGUCGAGCGGAGAUGAGGUGCUUGCACCUUAUCUUAGCGGCGGACGGGUGAGUAAUGCUUAGGAAUCUGCCUAUUAGUGGGGGACAACAUUCCGAAAGGAAUGCUAAUACCGCAUACGCCCUACGGGGGAAAGCAGGGGAUCUUCGGACCUUGCGCUAAUAGAUGAGCCGAAGUCGGAUUAGCUAGUUGGUGGGGUAAGGGCCUACCAAGGCGACGAUCUGUAGCGGGUCUGUGAGGAUGAUCCGCCACACUGGGACUGAGACACGGCCCAGACUCCUACGGGAGGCAGCAGUGGGGAACAUUGGACAAUGGGCGGAAGCCUGAUCCAGCCAUGCCGCGUGUGUGAAGAAGGCCUUUUGGUUGUAAAGCACUUUAAGCGAGGAGGAGGCUACCUGGAUUAAUACUCUAGGAUAGUGGACGUUACUCGCAGAAUAAGCACCGGCUAACUCUGUGCCAGCAGCCGCUGUAACAC